rnacentral:rRNA from 1 species
UGUAGGGCGCAGGGCGGAUGCCUUGGCACCAAGAGCCGAUGAAAGACGUGAUAAGCUGCGAAAAGCUGCGGGGAGUUGCAAAUAAACAUUGAUCCGCAGAUCUCUGAAUGGGGCAACCCAACUAGGUAGACCCUAGUUACCGUUAACUGAAUCCAUAGGUUAACGGAGGGAACCCGGUGAACUGAAACAUCUAAGUAGCCGGAGGAAGAGAAAACAAAAGUGAUUCCGUAAGUAGCGGCGAGCGAACGCGGAAGAGCCCAAACCAGGGAGCUUGCUUCCUGGGGUUCGGACUGUAUAAUCGAUGGAGUCUGCUAGCAGAACGGCAUGGAAAGGCCGGCCAUAGCGUGUGAAAGCCACGUAUGCGAAAGCGGACAAAGCGAGACAGUAUCCAGAGUAGGACGAGACACGUGAAACCUUGUCUGAACAUGCGGGGACCACCCCGUAAGGCUAAAUACUACUUGGUGACCGAUAGCGAAACAGUACCGUGAGGGAAAGGUGAAAAGAACCCCGGGAGGGGAGUGAAAGAGAACCUGAAACCCUGUGCCUGCAAGCUGCGAAAGCACUAUCUAAAUGAAGUGUGAUCGCGUACUUUUUGUAGAACGGUCCGGCGAGUUAUGUGGAGGGGCGAGGUUAAGUACUUAAGGUAAAUAGCCGAAGGGAGACCAAGUCUGAACAGGGCGUCAAGUCGCUUCACAUAGACCCGAAACCGGGUGAUCUAUCCAUGGACAGGAUGAAGCGGCCGUAAAAGGCUGUGGAGGUCCGAACACACAUCCGUUGAAAAGGGUGGUGAUGAGCUGUGGAUAGGGGAGAAAUUCCAAUCGAACUCGGAGAUAGCUGGUUCUCCCCGAAAUAGCUUUAGGGCUAGCCCUGCAGCAUGCCUGAUGGAGGUAGAGCACUGAAUAUCCGCGGGGGCUUCACCGCUUACCAAAGAUUAUCAAACUCCGAAUGCCAUACAGGCUGAGCGCAGGAGUCAGACUACACGAGAUAAGUUGGGUAGUCAAAAGGGAAAGAGCCCAGAUCCACGGCUAAGGUCCCAAAGUGCGUGUUAAGUGGAAAAGGAUGUGGGAUUUCAUAGACAGCUAGGAUGUUGGCUCAGAAGCAGCCACACAUUCAAAGAGUGCGUAAUAGCUCACUAGCCGAGAGGUCCUGCGCCGAAAAUUACCGGGGCUGAAACACGACACCGAAGCCUGGGGAUC